rnacentral:rRNA from 1 species
GAUGAACGCUGGCGGCGUGCCUAAUACAUGCAAGUCGAGCGAACAGACGAGGAGCUUGCUCCUCUGACGUUAGCGGCGGACGGGUGAGUAACACGUGGAUAACCUACCUAUAAGACUGGGAUAACUUCGGGAAACCGGAGCUAAUACCGGAUAAAAUAUUGAACCGCAUGGUUCAAUAGUGAAAGACGGUAUUGCUGUCACUUAUAGAUGGAUCCGCGCCGCAUUAGCUAGUUGGUAAGGUAACGGCUUACCAAGGCAACGAUGCGUAGCCGACCUGAGAGGGGGAUCGGCCACACGGGAACUGAGACACGGCCCAGACUCCUACGGGAGGCAGCAGUAGGGAAUCUUCCGCAAUGGGCGAAAGCCUGACGGAGCAACGCCGCGUGAGUGAUGAAGGUCUUCGGAUCGUAAAACUCUGUUAUUAAGGAAGAACAAAUGUGUAAGUAACUAUGCACGUCUUGACGGUACCUAAUCAGAAAGCCACGGCUAACUACGUG